UAUUUCAAGGGAUUUACUGCAUGCAAUUGAAUAUUUACAUAAUGAAGGAAAGAUUCAUAGAGAUAUCAAAGCGGCAAACAUUUUAUUGUCUGAGAAAGGUGAUGUUAAGGUUGCAGACUUUGGUGUUUCAGCGCAAUUAACAAGGACGAUAUCACAGAGAAAG